CAGUAGCCGCGGUAAUACAGAGGGUGCGAGCGUUAAUCGGAUUUACUGGGCGUAAAGCGCGCGUAGGCGGCUUCUUAAGUCGGAUGUGAAAUCCCUGAGCUUAACUUAGGAAUUGCAUUCGAUACUGGGAAGCUAGAGUAUGGGAGAGGAUGGUAGAAUUCCAGGUGUAGCGGUGAAAUGCGUAGAGAUCUGGAGGAAUACCGAUGGCGAAGGCAGCCAUCUGGCCUAAUACUGACGCUGAGGUACGAAAGCAUGGGGAGCAAACAGGAUUAGAUACCCGCGUAGUCCCUGUCUCUUAUAC
rnacentral:rRNA from 1 species